rfam:Triticum aestivum genome assembly, contig: Triticum_aestivum_CS42_TGACv1_scaffold_581564_7BL
UAAAUAUUCCAUCCGUCCGGAAAUACUUGUCGAAGGAAUGGACUUAUCUAGACGUAUUUUAGUGUUAGAUACAUCCAUUUUUAGUCAUUUUUACGACAAGUAUUUCCGGACGGAGGGAGUAUAAG